AAAUUAGGGCAAUAGUGGCGACCUUAUUAGUGGCGACUUCUAAAAGGUCGCCGCUAAAGGUGUUGAUCCGCAUCAUGACUAAAUGAAGCACCGUCAGCCGUUGAUGAAUGUUCGGAUCGGACGACUAGGGUUUUAAAAGCAAUUUCAUUUUCACAAGCGGGAGAAUUUCCCACCACUUUCCUGUACUUUUCUCCCCCAAAUCCAUUUUUAUCUCUCUCUUUUCAGCCUAAAUUCCCAUCGUUGCUCUCUUUCCAGCCCUAAAUUUCCCCCUUCAAAGUUCCGGCGUGAAGGUGGUUUCCGGCGUGAAUGUGGGUUUUAGGGUGAAACUGGUUUGCGGCUUGUUUACAACAGCUCAAUUUCCGUGGGUACAGAUAUGUAUGACAGGAUGGCCGACCAAAAAAGAGCGGGGUUUUUACUCUUUGUUCGUAACCUAACACAGCACUACGUGGCGCGUUUUGAUUUUUACAUGGGGUGAUGCUGAGUUUCAUCAGGAGACAUUGCAAAACCUAAAAACUGCUAUCAAGAAAACAAAGAAGUUGUGCUCUGUUAUGUUAGAUACAACUGGUCCUGAGCUCCUGGUUGUUAACAAAGGUAAUCAUCCUAUACCCCUUGAAGCAGAUUCCUUUGUUGUUUUAACACCCGAUCAAGAGAAAGAAGCAACUUCAGAUUUAUUGCCAGUUAACUUUGGUGGUUUAGCAAAGACUGUAAAGCUCGGUGACACCAUCUUUCUUGGACAAUACUUGUUUACAGGAAGUGAGGCUACGUCUGUUUGGCCGGAGGUCUGGUCGAAUAUAUGUUGUUGACACACAAAAGGAUCCACAGGCCCCACCUUCCAUAAGGUGGUUGAGCCCGCUGACAUCAUAAGCCAAACAGGGCUCACAUAUCCCCACACCGCUCAUUGUCUUGCUUCUGGUGACAUAAUGGUCUCCUGCCUUGGAGACAAAGAUGGAAAAGCGGAAGGAAAUGGCUUCCUACUUCUUGAUUCAGAUUUCAAUGUGAAAGGAAGGUGCGAGAAACCUGGGCAUAGUCCAUUGUUUGGAUAUGAUUAUUGGUACCAACCUCGACAUAAAACCAUGAUUAAUACAUCAUGGGGAGCUCCAGCUGCUUUUACACACGGAUUCAACCUUCACAUGUUUCAGACGGUUUAUAUGGUCGUCAUUUGCAUGUGUACAGCUGGCCCGAGGGCGAACAUGUUUCAGACGUCAUUUGCAUGUGUACAGCUGGCCCGAGGGCGAACAUGUUUCAGACGGUUUAUAUGGUCGUCAUUUGCAUGUGUACAGCUGGCCCGAGGGCGAACAUGUUUCAGACGGUUUAUAUUGUCGUCUUUUAUGUACUUUUAUGUGUAAUAUGUAUACAUCAAUGGUUUGGUA